rnacentral:rRNA from 1 species
AUUGAACGCUGGCGGAAUGCUUUACACAUGCAAGUCGAACGGUAGAGGGGGCAACCCCUUGAGAGUGGCGAACGGGUGAGUAAUAUAUCGGAACGUGCCCAGUCGUGGGGAUAACGUAGCGAAAGUUACGCUAAUACCGCAUACGAUCUAAGGAUGAAAGCGGGGAUCGCAAGACCUCGCGCGAUUGGAGCGGCCGAUAUCAGAUUAGGUAGUUGGUGAGGUAAAGGCUCACCAAGCCAACGAUCUGUAGCUGGUCUGAGAGGACGACCAGCCACACUGGAACUGAGACACGGUCCAGACUCCUACGGAGGCAGCAGUGGGGAAUAUU